rnacentral:lncRNA from 1 species
AAGGCCCUAAUAAUUAGCGCUCUCAUAUAUGGACGCCGCCUGACCUGUCAGGCCCUUGAGCUUGCCUCUUCCUUUCUAGGGAAGGGUUGAGCAAGGGAGGUCAGCGCUUCAACGACUCCCGACAUGACGAUUGCAAGGACGUACAGGCGUGCGUAUUUGCGGACCAAUACCGAGCGAUAUAUAGGGGUUCAGCCAAGGAAGUGCACACGCCAUCAUCGCCAAGUGCGCUAUAACAAGAAUGGUCAAGGCAACACUGGUACGAAAGCCUCCAGUUGACUCGCGACAUACCUGUAACACCCAAAAAUCUAUUUUAAAUAAAUAGGGAUUAAUUUGAUUUAAUUAAGGAUUUUUGUGCGCAUUCAAAUUUAGCACUUAAAUAUUUUUUGGUCAAAAUUAAAAUUUACCAUAAGAUUAGAAACUUAUUUAUGCAUUCAUGUUGAAGAAUGUUUUAUUUUGUAUUGUUUGCCUCUGGCUUGAAUUUAUUUGAAUUUAAAAUCCUAUUUAGAAAAGGCUUUGGAAAAUAAAAUGGAAAAGAAAACAGAAAAGAAAAAAAAUAAAAGAAAAAGAAAAGGGGAAACCCCUUGGAAAACCAGCCGAAGCCCAGCUCCCCUCUCCCCCUUCACUCGGCCCAGCGAACGGCCCAGCUGCUCCCCCGUGCGCCUGGCCUCACCUCCCUCUUCUUUCUUUGACCGACAACUGGGGCCCACACGUCAGCGCGUUACUUCUUCUUCGUUUCGGAACCACGCCGUACGAUCCCGGGAACCCGGAAUUCCCUUGCAAACGUGCGCACUAAGCCCCCAAUAAAGCCAUUGAGCCGCCCUAUGGACCCCUUUUCGCAUCUAAGUCGCCGAAUCCACGCCUAGGUCACCUCACCGGCGAUUUUGAAUCACGCCGAGUUGCGGUGACGGGUCUCCAUCGUCGCGAGCUCUUCCCGUCCCAUUCUAGCCCAAGAAAACCGCCUACUCGAGUUCGGGGUAAGCUCCUCUCUCCCC